rnacentral:rRNA from 1 species
CGAUUUUCGCAAUGCCCGAAAGGGUGACGAAGCGACGCCGCGUGUGGGAAGAAGGCCUUCGGGUUGUAAACCACUGUUGGGAGUUAGGAAGUGCGGGGGUGUGAAUAGCGCCUUCGCUUGACUAAAGCUCCAGAGGAAGCCACGGCUAACUCUGUGCCAGCAGCCGCGGUAAUACAGAGGCGGCAAGCGUUGUUCGGAAUUAUUGGGCGUAAAGAGCACGUAGGCGGCUCUGUAAGUCAGCUGUGAAAGCCUUCUGCUUAACGGAAGAACAGCAGUUGAAACUACAGUGCUUGAGUGCGGGAAGGGAGAGUGGAACUUCUGGUGGAGCGGUGAAAUGCGUAGAUAUCAGAAGGAACGCCGGCGGCGAAAGCGGCUCUCUGGCCCGUAACUGACGCUGAGUGUGCGAAAGCUAGGGGAGCAAACGGGAUUAGAUACCCCGGUAGUCCUAGCCGUAAACGAUGGGCACUAAGUAGAGGGGUUU